CAUGUGCACGCUCUGUUUGCACAUCCACUCACACCUGUGCACCCUCUGUAGUUCUAUGGCCUGGGGGACUCUGUUCUCCUGUGCUGUGGUUCUAUAUCUUUACACACACACACUAUAAUAAAGUCUUAUGGAAUGUAUGCCGCGUUUAACGCAAUACAAUACAACUUUCAGCAACGGAUCUCUUGGCUCUCGCAUCGAUGAAGAACGCAGCGAAAUGCGAUAAGUAAUGUGAAUUGCAGAAUUCAGUGAAUCAUCGAAUCUUUGAACGCACCUUGCGCCCUUUGGCUAUUCCGAAGGGCAUGCCUGUUUGAGUAUCAUAAACACCUCAACUCUCGUGGUUUGCCAUGAUGAGCUUGGACUUUGGGGGUCUUGCUGGCCUGCAGUCAGCUCCCCUCAAAUGAAUCAGCUUGCCAGUGUCUGGUGGCAUCACAAGUGUGAUAACUAUCUACGCUUGUGGUCUUCUGCCAGAUGACCUUCAGCGAUGGAGGUCCACUGGAGCUCAUAAAU
rnacentral:rRNA from 1 species